CCUACGGGAGGCUGCAGUGGGGAAUUUUGCGCAAUGGGGGAAACCCUGACGCAGCAACGCCGCGUGCGGGACGAAGGCCCUCGGGUCGUAAACCGCUUUCAGCAGGGAAGACCACGACGGUACCUGCAGAAGAAGCUCCGGCUAACUACGUGCCAGCAGCCGCGGUAAUACGUGGGGGGGGAGCGGUAUCGGGAUUCAUGGGUGGGAAAGCGCGCGUAGGCGGCCGCCAAAGCGGAACCUCAAACCCCGGGGCUAACCCUCGGGCCGGGUUCAGGACUGGGAGGCUAGAGUGCGGUAGAGGAGAGCGGAAUUCCAGGUGUAGCAGUGGAAUGCGCAGAGAUCGGGAAGAACACCGAUGGCGAAGGCAGCUCUCUGGGCCGUCACUGACGCUGAGGCGCGAAAGCUGGGGGAGCGAACAGGAUUAGUUACCCGGGUAGUC
rnacentral:rRNA from 1 species